rnacentral:tRNA from 1 species
GCGUCGCUAGCUCAGAAGCGCAGAGCAACUGGCUCUUAACCAGUGGGUCCAGGGUUCAAGUCCCUGGCGACGCACCA